rnacentral:rRNA from 1 species
GAUGAACGCUGGCGGCGUGCCUAAUACAUGCAAGUCGAGCGAACAGAUGAGAAGCUUGCUCCUCUGACGUUAGCGGCGGACGGGUGAGUAACACGUGGAUAACCUACCUAUAAGACUGGGAUAACUUCGGGAAACCGUAGCUAAUACCGGAUAAUAUUUUGAACCGCAUGGUUCAAUAGUGAAAGACGGUUUUGCUGUCACUUAUAGAUGGAUCCGCGCUGCAUUAGCUAGUUGGUAAGGUAACGGCUUACCAAGGCAACGAUGCAUAGCCGACCUGAGAGGGUGAUCGGCCACACUGGAACUGAGACACGGUCCAGACUCCUACGGGAGGCAGCAGUAGGGAAUCUUCCGCAAUGGGCGAAAGCCUGACGGAGCAACGCCGCGUGAGUGAUGAAGGUCUUCGGAUCGUAAAACUCUGUUAUUAGGGAAGAACAUAUGUGUAAGUAACUAUGCACAUCUUGACGGUACCUAAUCAGAAAGCCACGGCUAACUACGUG